rnacentral:tRNA from 3 species
GCAUUAGAAGCUCAACGAAAGAGCGCCGGUCUUGUAAGCCGAAGGCUGGGGGUUCAAAUCCCCCCUUUUGCU